rnacentral:rRNA from 1 species
CCUACGGGAGGCAGCAGUAGGGAAUAUUGCUCAAUGGGGGAAACCCUGAAGCAGCAACGCCGCGUGGAGGAUGAAGGUUUUCGGAUUUUAAACUCCUUUUGUUAGAGAAGAUAAUGACGUUAUCUAACGAAUAAUCCCCGUCUAACGCCGUGCCAGCCGCCGCGGGAAUACGGAGGGUGCCAGCGUUACACGGAAUCACUGGGCGUAAAGCGGGCGUAGGCGGGAUAACAAGGCAGAUGUGAAAUCCUAUGGCUUAACCAUAGAACUGCCUUUGAAACUGUUAUUCUUGAGUAUGGGGGAGGUAGGCGGAAUUCGUGGUGUAGCGGUAAAAUCCGUAGAGAUCAAGAGGAAUACUGAUUGCGAAGGCGACCUGCCAUAACAUAACUGACGCUGAUGCGCGAAAGCGUGGGUAGCAAACAGGAUUAGAUACCCUAGUAGUC